AUUGAACGCUGGCGGCAUGCUUUACACAUGCAAGUCGAACGGCAGCGCGGGCUUCGGCCUGGCUGCGAGUGGCGAACGGGUGAGUAAUGCAUCGGAACGUGCCCAGUAGUUGGGGAUAGGCCGGCGAAAGCCGGAUUAAUACCCCAAUCGACCAGAGGGUGAAAGCGGGGGACCGAAAGGCCUCCGGCUAUUGGAGCGGCCGAUGUCGGAUUAGCUAGUUGGUGGGGUAAAGGCUUACCAAGGCGACGAUCCGUAGCUGGUCUGAGAGGACGACCAGCCACACUGGGACUGAGACACGGCCCAGACUCCUACGGGAGGCAGCAGUGGGGAAUUUUGGACAAUGGGGGCAACCCUGAUCCAGCCAUGCCGCGUGCGGGAAGAAGGCCUUCGGGUUGUAAACCGCUUUUGUUCGGGAAGAAAUCCUCUGGGCUAAUACCCCGGGGGGAUGACGGUACCGGAAGAAUAAGCACCGGCUAACUACGUG
rnacentral:rRNA from 1 species